UUAACACAUGCAAGUCGAGGGGCAGCAUGGUCUUAUCUUGCUAAGGCCGAUGGCGACCGGCGCACGGGUGAGUAACGCGUAUCCAACCUGCCUUACACUCUUGGACAGCCUUCUGAAAGGGAGAUUAAUACAAGAUGUUAUCAUGAGUAAGCAUUUUCGCAUGAUUAAAGGUUUACCGGUGUAAGAUGGGGAUGCGUUCCAUUAGAUAGUAGGCGGGGUAACGGCCCACCUAGUCUUCGAUGGAUAGGGGUUCUGAGAGGAAGGUCCCCCACAUUGGAACUGAGACACGGUCCAAACUCCUACGGGAGGCAGCAGUGAGGAAUAUUGGUCAAUGGACGAGAGUCUGAACCAGCCAAGUAGCGUGAAGGAUGAAGGUUCUAUGGAUUGUAAACUUCUUUUAUACGGGAAUAAACGAAUCCACGCGUGGAUUUUUGCAUGUACCGUAUGAAUAAGGAUCGGCUAACUCCGUGCCAGCAGCCGCGGUAAUACGGAGGAUCCGAGCGUUAUCCGGAUUUAUUGGGUUUAAAGGGAGCGUAGAUGGGUUGUUAAGUCAGUUGUGAAAGUUUGCGGCUCAACCGUAAAAUUGCAAUUGAUACUGGCAGUCUUGAGUACAGUUGAGGUAGGCGGAAUUCGUGGUGUAGCGGUGAAAUGCUUAGAUAUCACGAAGAACUCCGAUUGCGAAGGCAGCUUACUAACCUGUAACUGACAUUGAUGCUCGAAAGUGUGGGUAUCAAACAGGAUUAGAUACCCUGGUAGUCCACACGGUAAACGAUGAAUACUCGCUGUAGGCGAUAUACAGUCUGCGGCCAAGCGAAAGCAUUAAGUAUUCCACCUGGGGAGUACGCCGGCAACGGUGAAACUCAAAGGAAUUGACGGGGGCCCGCACAAGCGGAGGAACAUGUGGUUUAAUUCGAUGAUACGCGAGGAACCUUACCCGGGCUUAAAUUGCAACCGAAUAUGGCGGAAACGCUAUAGCUAGCAAUAGCGGUUGUGAAGGUGCUGCAUGGUUGUCGUCAGCUCGUGCCGUGAGGUGUCGGCUUAAGUGCCAUAACGAGCGCAACCCUUGCCGAUAGUUACUAACAGGUUAUGCUGAGGACUCUGUCGGGACUGCCAUCGUAAGAUGUGAGGAAGGUGGGGAUGACGUCAAAUCAGCACGGCCCUUACGUCCGGGGCUACACACGUGUUACAAUGGGGGGUACAGAGGGCUGCUACCACGCAAGUGGAUGCCAAUCCCAAAAACCUCUCUCAGUUCGGAUUGAAGUCUGCAACCCGACUUCAUGAAGCUGGAUUCGCUAGUAAUCGCGCAUCAGCCACGGCGCGGUGAAUACGUUCCCGGGCCUUGUACACACCGCCCGUCAAGCCAUGGGAGCCGGGGGUACCUGAAGUGCGUAACCGCAAGGAGCGCCCUAGGGUAAAACUGGUGACUGGGGCUAAGU
rnacentral:rRNA from 1 species